CAGGUCCCUCCAUCGUUGUGGCAAAUCAAAAAUGCCGAGAUAGUUAAUUCCUUUUAAAGUUAGCCACUUUACCACCUUGAUGCAUAUAAUUCCACUUUUCAACCCACAUGUGUAUAAAUAAAAAUAGCAUCGUGCUAUAUGUUCUGUUGUGUAACCUGCGUUGCCUCUUAACAAUAUAUUAUAAACACCUACCUCUUUGUUGGUGAUAGAGACAUUUAUCUAACAUUAUCUUUAAUAGCUGGCACAUUAUUUUAUUGUCUGAAUGUACUCUAAUUUAUUUCCUCAAUCCCCUAUUGCUGGGACUUUUGGUUGCUCCCAAUAUUCAUGAUUAUUAACAGAAUUGCAGUGAACUUCCUUGUUACACCUUUUCAUAAUCCAUCAUUGUUUAUUUAUGAUGAUAAGCUCCUAGAGUGGAAAGUACAUUUUAAAAUCUUUUGAGACAUACUUACAAAUGCCCUUCCCCAGAGCCUUUGGUUUGAGUUGCUUUUAUAGCUUUCCUUGUAGCCAUUGAACCAACUCCUUGUCACCCUUUGGUGACUCCAACGUAGUGCCAAGGGAAUCCUAUUUUCCCCAGACCUUCUCAAAGUCUCUCCCAAGUCCCCAAAUUAAUUCUAGUUUUUUACCACAAUUUUUCCUCAGAGUGACCUGUUUUGUUGUUUAAGGACCACCCUGAAAUUAUUGGGGUACAGAGACAAAGAACUAUUUUAAAAGUCAGGAAAAGUAGAAAAACCUAUAGAGAGCUUCACAGGCAUGCCAUAGGAUAAAUGGAGGUUGAUCAUUAUGUCUCUUACAUAUUAUUUUGAGUAGACUCAUUAUAGAGCUUUAAAAUGCUAUUUUGAAAUGCCACAUAUUACUACUUAAGAUGUAAACAACUCAUUCUAGGUUAAAAACUGUAUGGUCAGAAGGCUUCAAAAAUAGCAGCUCUAUGGCUAGAAGGCUUCAAAAGUAAUGCCCGAUGUACAGUUUUGAAAUAUGGAACACCAUUGCUGUUCACCAGCAGGCCUGAGGCAGCCAGUACAGUCAAAAGCUGACACGCCUGUGCCUCUCAUGGAAGCUUCUAGAGCACAACUAGCAAGAGCCUGGAACUCCAUGCACAAAUAAGAGAAACCUGCCUUCUAUG
rnacentral:lncRNA from 1 species